UGUUUAAUGCGUAAUUUUGUCAUCCGCUUUCCAUGCGCAUUUGGUUUAAGUAUUGCUAAUUUCCUAGCGCUUUGACUCCUAGCGCUUUGACUGCCCUUCUGUAUCAGUUCUUCAAUGUUGGGCACUCUCUUGCCCCAAGAAUCAGAGAAGCACCAAAGGUCUCAGGUGAUGGCAAUAGUGACCAGCUGCAGUCACCACAGCUCACCACAUACGCUCCUCCAUCACGGCUGACCCCUGGAGAGCACUAACUGGCCCCUCCUAAGGGCCCCUCCCCUCCUCAUUACAGAAAUUCAGACUGAGGAUUUGCCAGGUCUGCACACUGAAGCCCUGGUCUCUCUAAUGGCACCUUGCAUAGGCAUUCCCACAUGACCAGAUUCCUGCGAGAGUGCUUUAAACGUGACUGAUCUGUCAGUCUUCUUCCUGUUUGCUUUUCUGAGUAAAGUAACCACUGUCCUCAGCUGCCUAGAAACUCAGAGCUCCCUCUGAGUUUAUUCAUUUGCCAUAAUGGUGUGUUGAAAAUAUUGGGGUAACAACUAUCUUGGAUGGAUGGUUCCCUGCAAUGCCACCAUCGCCAUAACAUAUUCCUUAUGACUAUUGUAGUAGUAAAACACACACUAGUAGUCAAACUAUACUGCAUGAAAAGUUGACUGACAUUUGUGGAAAGUCAUUGCGUAUGUGGGUGUAACAUACAAAAGCAUCAAAGACUAUUCUCUCUCAGUCUCUCUGCUCAUCCCAUGUCGGCCGUAGAGAACUAUGUGUUGGCUCUCACUGGUGUGAGCUGCAUGGAGACUAUGACUGACAGCUGCAUCCGGCCAGCCAGGUUUUGUCAAAUAUGGGGCUGGCAAGCAAUCCGACACCCUAUUAGAAAGGGACAAACAGUAUACCUCGAGGAACGCGUGCCUUUCAUCCUGCUGUCUUUGGAGUUGAUGCCCCGUCUUCAAUGCAGGUAUCAUUCAUACAUUUAAGGAGACCAUAAAUAGCUCCGUCUCCGUUUACAAGCCAACUGAUUAAAUCAUGCAUGAUAGCAGCUGUGGAGAACCUCUCAGAUACAUAUCGCAGAUGAUUUAAUAUCUGAUAUAGUGUUUCAUUGGCAUUGAGCUUCUUAUUGGCUACACCAACUCUCGGUCGACCUGAAGUUAAGUGCUUAUCAACAACGAGUGAUGAAGUGUUAAAAAAAGAGAUCAGAGGCUGGCUAUGAAAAGAUGAACAACCACUGGUACAUGUUAAAACAUUUGACACUUGAAAUGCUAUUAUUUUCAUGCAUGACUGGAAGGAGGCCAAAAGUAAUUUCUUUCUAAUGUACAUGACUGAUUCUGUAUUUGUUGAGAAAUACAAUAUACAAGAUUAGUACCUAAAACAAUCACCAAUAAUUACAUUUUUUCUGUAAUUUAAAGAUUUCCAUGUAUGGAUCAACAAAGCACCCUUGUAGUCCAAUAGUCCAAUAUGGUUGAUUUAAAGUUGGAAGAAUUGAAUUGGAAGUAUGAAUUUGACUUAUAACUGGUUAAUACUUCUGCUUUUUAGUUCAAUUUACUUUUGUGUAUAAGCGGUUUGAGGACCGGUAUGCAUAUCACUAAGUGGACUGGAGUCAUUCCACUGAGCACAAGGACAAAUGUUUAUAUGGUCUGGUCUUGAAGGCCAGGCUUUUGACAUUUGCUCCCUGGGCAGGUGGUCUGAGGCCAAGGCCUUUUCCUUAGUGCUGUCUGCUAAGCCGUUUAGUCAAAUACAUUUUUUUUGUCAGAUAUUGCUUUGAGAUGGUUUGUAUUUUGAUGAUAUAGUUGUUCAUCUUGAUGAAAGUCAUAUCCUGCUGUACAAAAUAAAUGUGGAUAUACUUAGGGUAGCAACUGCCACAAACUUAGAUGUCAACACACGGAAACGUGUGAAAACAUUGUUGGUAGCUAGGUCAUUUUAAAAUCACAUUUCUUGCAUACCCUAUGCUGCAAGUUAUAGCCUUCAACUAAGCAAGAUUUAAAAACAAUGCCACCAUGAGACGAGACAAAUCCAAUAAAUCACUGUCAACAUCAGCAAAAAUGUGGUUUGGGCAAACAGAACUUCCCCAGGGAAGUGAACUCACCCUGCUUGAAAUGUCUAGUAUUCAGUGUCACUUUAUAUCAAACAAACCCAGAAACGGCUUUGUCCACUAAUACAUAUGUUUGAUUGCAUCCCCGUAGAAAUAGAACAAAUUGACUGACAACCA
ensembl:lncRNA